CGUGAUUCCAGUCAAGUCACUGGUUCACCAAGCUCCAUGUGGAGGGCGAGGCUUCUAUGGUCUGCCAUUGGUCCCCUCACUGGGCCACAUAGACAACCAAAGACAGACAGCUCCAGCGACAACUGUCUAUUUGGAGGAGGCUCUGGAUGCAGCGGCUCCAGAAGGAGGUCACAGCAGCAGCCACGGGCACCAAUGUGAUUCCCUCAGGCUCCGCACUCAAAGGACAGCAAACAGGAGAAGAAAAAUGAGAAGAGGGAAAGAUGGCGAUUGGCCCCAGGACUGUUUCCUUGGCUUUAGAGUUAAGAAAAAGAUCCCUCAGUCAGCCUGGAUCUACUAACAAGGACUGAAGAGAGACGAUUUGUGUGUG